UUUCUGCCUCAACCAGCAGGAAGAUCUAUAAUUAAAUUAACAGGUUUGUUUUAUCACAUUCUCUACUGAAAUCAGAUGAUCUUCUAAAAUUAUGUUUUUUAUAUUAACUAGGAAACCUUGGAGGUCUGUGAUGAACCUCAGCAGGAGACGUGCGAGGAGAGACCUCAGGAGUGUGGCGAUUACACCUGCCCGCCUGAGCUCUCUGAGCAAGAGGAUCCUCAGCCCAUCGAGGAGGAUCCGACAGCCUGUAAUGAGGCUGAAGAACCAAUUAUGACGCAGGAGAGCACGAACACCAGCCCCUGCCACCCUCAGCAGGAGACUUGCGAGGAGAGACCUCAGGAGUGUGGCAAUUACACCUGCCCGCCUGAGCUCUCUGAGCAAGAGGAUCCUCAGCCCAUCGAGGAGGAUCCAACAGCCUGUAAUGAGGUUUGUGCUUAAUUAUAUCUUCUGAAAGUCAUUUUGUUUCAAGAUUAAACAUACGGUCACCUUUAGUGAUAACUUGCAUUGGAUGAUAGGCCUUUCAUCCCAUAAAGUAACUGUUAUAUUGAUUGAGCGGAACCCUGGUGUUACCUCCAUCCCCAAGCUGGUGGUAGCGCCAAGGUUUCCCCAGUGACCCCCCCGAAUACAUGCAGUGGACUUGUGCCAACUAAUAUUUGGCAAUAUUUUGACACUGAGCUGGAAUUGUAGAAAAACAAACCCUGCCUUUAAAAUGAUGAAUUUAUUACUACUUUGAAUUGACAGGGCCUCAGUUGUUGCUUACAAUUUUUAUUUCAGAUUA